rnacentral:lncRNA from 1 species
CACAAUUGCCUGUUACCGCCGAGAAAGUUAGGUAGUUAGGUGCUCAUGCCGGGAGCGAAACAUCUCAAAAAUUGCCUUUGCAAGACCACGCUGAUCAUAAACUUGCAUGAUAUCACGGAUGUUCGCAUUGACGGGCGCACCGAGGUCCCAGAGCUUCUGACGCGCAGACACAAUCGCCGGACAUUCUACCAAGAAGUGUUUCUCAUCCUCAAUAGCUC